AUUCAGCUGACGAGUCCCAAACAGGAAUAAAACGCGCGUCCUGGAU
rnacentral:hammerhead_ribozyme from 1 species